GACGAACGCUGGCGGCGUGCCUAACACAUGCAAGUCAACUUGAGGGAAGGAGCAAUCUGACCUGAUGGUGGCGCAAGGGUGCGUAACGCGUAAGUAACUUGCCCCAAGGUAAGGAAUAACGUCGAGAAAUCGGCGCUAAUACCUCAUAAUGCAGCGGAUCCGCAUGGAUAUGUUGUUAAAGGUUUACCGCCUUGGGAUAGGCUUGCGUCUGAUUAGCUAGUUGGUGUGGUAAUGGCACACCAAGGCUACGAUCAGUAACUGGUCUGAGAGGAUGAUCAGUCACACUGGAACUGAGACACGGUCCAGACUCCUACGGGAGGCAGCAGUGAGGAAUAUUGGGCAAUGCACGAAAGUGUGACCCAGCAACGCCGCGUGGAGG
rnacentral:rRNA from 1 species